GCGGCCGACGAUGACGCCCGCAAAUUUUUCUUGAAUAAUUCCGUUUUUUAAAACGGAGCGGAUAGGAGGAGGGAGCGCCACGAGUUUUCCUGCCUGGAAAAUCGAGACGAGUUUCGUUGUCGCCGUUGACGAACGGCCAAGGGGAAAAUGUAAUUCCCCCCGCGGUUUCCGUGACCGUGGACCGUGCUGAUUCUUUUUGCUUUAUUCACACUUUACUUUAUACUUAUUUACACUACUGCUCGAUCCCUCGUCCUUACGCUCGUCGCGCUGAAUUUUUUAAGAAUUGGCGGUGUAUAUGCGUAUAGCGUUUAGAGAUUAUUUAGAUAAUUUUGAAAGACUUGUGAGAUAUAAGGAGAUUUGUGUAAUGAGAAAAAGAAGUAUACGUAUAUUAUAUUAAAAGAUUAUGUAGAAAUCUUAACAACUACCUAGAGUUCCAAGUAUAGACAAAAUCUUGGAAUCGAUAACGAGAAAGUUUCGAGAAUUCUACGAGUGAGGAUUAUGUGAAAGUAUCGCGUACCAACUGCAACAUUAUAAAGUCUACACCGAAGUCACCAAGUGUUUGCGGGGAUGGAACGAAGACAUUUCCGGUGGCUUUAUUCAAAUCAGAAGAAUAAAUAACGAAGUGGCGACCCCGCCAAUAGUAAAGGUUGACAAUAUCGAUCUGUCUGUUAAAACUUGCCUCGUUAAAGGAUCAUCAAGAUCAAAGAAAAAAACCAAUUAUGAUGCAGCAGGAAAACUUGAAAACAUAUAUUCGGUUACAUAUUUCGAGUCGUUUAUAAAUUUUUGAGGAAAAACUUUAAUUUUGGGGGAAAACAAAUUUUAUUUUGAAGAUACAUUAUUAUCGAUAUAUUUUUCAAAUUGAUUGAAAUUGAAUCAAAAAUGUGAAUUCAAAUUGAAAUUUAAGAUUUUUAUAGGAUCUUAAUGUACGAUAAGUAAGAUUUACACUUUUAUAGUUUUAUAGUUAGUGAAUCUUAUAAUAAAAUAAAUUUUGUUUAUUCUAAAAAGAAAUCUUUAUUUUUUAUAUGAAUAUGAAUUUAAAAAUAAGAAGAAGAAGAAGAAAUAUUUUUGGCCUUUUUGUAAUUUAUAAUUUUAUUAUUUUAUUAUUAAUUUUAUAAUUUUACAAAUUAUUACAAGAGUUAUGAUAUUAAUAAAUUUCUUUGCAUAAAUAAAUAAAAUCCUAUAAAUAAAUUUUAUAAAUUACAAGUUAUUAAAUAUCUAUUCAAUUAUAUAAUAUUAUGAAACAGUACUUGCAAAUUUAUUAUAUUAUUUAUUAAUAAAUUAUUAUACAAAAUAUAUAAAAUAUAUUGGAUACAUAUUGGAUUAUACAAAAUAUAUUGGAAAUAUUUGUGAAAUAAUAUUAAAUAUUUUUUAAAUCUUCAUCUACAAUUUAAAAUUUAAAAUAGUAAUCUGAAAAAUUUUAUAUUAAAUACGAUAUUCUAAUACAAAAUAAAUCAAACCAAAAUAAAAUUAUCUGUAUAUUUCUAAAAUAUUUUAUGUAUCCAUUGUACAGUGACAAUCUGAAUAUACACUUUACAAAAGUAAUA